UACGUAGGGGGCAAGCGUUGUCCGGAAUCAUUGGGCGUAAAGGGCGCGUAGGCGGCUCGGCACGUCCGUUGUGAAAUCGCUCGGCUCAACUGGGCGAGGUCAGCGGAUACGGUCGAGCUUGAGCCAGCUAGGGGGCAAUGGAAUUCCCGGUGUAGUGGUGGAAUGCGUAGAUAUCGGGAGGAACACCAGUGGCGAAGGCGGUUGCCUGGGGCUGUGCUGACGCUGAUGCGCGAAAGCGUGGGGAGCGAUCCGG
rnacentral:rRNA from 1 species